UGCCGUUGUGGCGCUUUUGUUUAGUACACAUCCAGUUGAAUGCAACAAGUGCAUUUUCGCCUCCUGAUUUUUGGUUUUUAAGUCCGUUUUAAGCUCAAAUAUUAACCAGAAUGAAGGUUUACAUGUGCCUGGUUUUCCUGAUGUUCGUUGGAUAUACCUGGAGUUUAAGUCACACUGAAUCUUGCGGCGGCUUGAAUUCGUGCGGAAAAUACAAGGAUUGUGUGGGUGGUUUAUGCAGAGCUACUGCUGGAUCAGGACAAGAUGAAGGUUUAUGCUUUUCUGACGAUGAUUGUGGGAAACACGAGCUAUGUAACUCUGGCGAGUGCAGACCCAAGCUACACUGAUGACCAACGUGAAUGGAUUGAACCAUGAAAGCUGGGAUAGACAGCAUUCUGAGGGCGAUCAUUACAUUUGCAUUCAAGAACGUGCAUCAGAAUUAGAUACAUCCCGUCUACCGCAUCGUCACAACUACGGCUGGGACUGUGCCAACUAUAAUAGUUGGGACUAGGUGGUGUGUCCCAACUUUAAUUGGGACCGUCAAUGCCCCAUCCACAGAUGGGGCACUAACUAAAUAAUUGGAGCGUGCAGAUACGGUUCUAUAAUACAGUACAUAUUUUGAUUGAACACACGUUUGUUUAGCAAUGAAAAAAGAGCACUUCAUUAAUCUUUUAUAGUCUGUUGUUUAAAAUACUCAGCCAUGUAUAGGCUACAUCAUAAUUGUAAACUUAGGUACAAAAACCUCAGAUAUGCUUUCGCGAUGCAAUGUAUUCUUAUAUCAGGUAUACGUUGACUUUAUACAAAAACUUUAAACUUACUCAAAAAACCCUUGACAUUAUUCGUUUUAAUUGAACGUAGGCUAUCUUCUUAUUUCUUUUCAUCCUUUGAUGCUUCCUCUUUCGUAAACGAACGGUGAGUGAUAUAAAUUGAGCUAUUUGGUAAAAUAAAGGGACUCUUGCAAAAAAAAUUGUCAGUGCU
rnacentral:lncRNA from 1 species